UUUACCAAGUGUAUACGUUAAAGGGAUAAACAACACUUUGGUGUACUUAACCGAUAUUUAAUACUGAUUCUAAUUUUCGAAAGGUUUUUAACAAUUUUAUAAGCGCUAAAAAAAACUAUAUGAUGUACGUAAGGAAGAUGAAAUUCGUAAAUUAUAAAGUGAUAAAAUCAUAUUCUAUUUUUCACACACAAAUUCGAGAAAAUAUGGUUGAAGCUAUCAAGUUUGUUUAUGUUAUGAUCAUCUUUUUUUCACUCUUUCUUGUUGCAAUGAAUGUUGACGGCGGUAAGCCAUUUUUUAUCAUUUUCAAAUUUUCGUAGUUACUUCAUACAAAAUAUUUUAGCACAUUUUAAUAACAUCCUUUUAUUCUCAUUUUCAGCAGCGUUUAUUAUGUGUACUCAAGAUUCUGAUUGUCCAAAAGAUAUGUGCUCAUCACUUUCAAUGAAUCCGAAGUGUCAUNNN
rnacentral:lncRNA from 1 species